rnacentral:tRNA from 1 species
UGGCCGAGGGGUUAAGGCGAUGGACUAGAAAUCCAUUGGGAUCUUCCCGCACAGGUUCGAAUCCUUU